rnacentral:rRNA from 1 species
GAUGAACGCUGGCGGCGUGCCUAAUACAUGCAAGUCGAGCGAACAGACGAGGAGCUUGCUCCUCUGACGUUAGCGGCGGACGGGUGAGUAACACGUGGAUAACCUACCUAUAAGACUGGGAUAACUUCGUGAAACCGGAGCUAAUACCGGAUAAUAUAUUGAACCGCAUGGUUCAAUAGUGAAAGACGGUUUUGCUGUCACUUUUAGAUGGAUCCGCGCCGCAUUAGCUAGUUGGUAAGGUAACGGCUUACCAAGGCAACGAUGCGUAGCCGACCUGAGAGGGUGAUCGGCCACACUGGAACUGAGACACGGUCCAGACUCCUACGGGAGGCAGCAGUAGGGAAUCUUCCGCAAUGGGCGAAAGCCUGACGGAGCAACGCCGCGUGAGUGAUGAAGGUCUUCGGAUCGUAAAACUCUGUUAUUAGGGAAGAACAAAUGUGUAAGUAACUAUGCACGUCUUGAAGGUACCUAAUCAGAAAGCCACGGCUAACUACGUG